CCUACGGGAGGCAGCAGUGGGGAAUAUUGCACAAUGGAGGGAACUCUGAUGCAGCGACGCCGCGUGAGUGAAGAAGUAAUUCGUUAUGUAAAGCUCUGUCAGCAGGGAAGAAAGUGACGGUACCUGCAAAAGAAGCUCCGGCUAAAUACUUGCCAGCAGCCGCGGUAAUACGGAGUGCGCAAGCGUUAUCCGGAUUUACUGGGUGGAAAGGGAGAGUAGGUGGCAGAGCAAGUCCGAAGUGAAAACCCAAAGCUAAACUAUGGGAAUGCUUUAGAAACUGUUCAGCUAGAGUGCAGGAGAGGUAAGUGGAAUUCUUAGUGUAGCGGUGAAAUGCGUAGAUAGUAGGAGGAACACCAGUGGCGAAGGCGGCUUGCUGGACUGUAACUGACGCUGAGGCUCGAAAGCGUGGGGAGCAAACAGGAUUAGAUACCCCUGUAGUC
rnacentral:rRNA from 1 species